CAGCAGUCGAGACUGAGAGGUCGAUCGACCACAUUGGGUAUGAAAAAAGCCCAAGGCGAACAGCACAGCAGUGAGGAAUAUUGGUCAAUGGUCUAACGACUGAACCAGCAAUUUGGAAGAACGUAUAAUAAAUAAAUUAUUUAAAGUUCUAGAUAAAAUAUUUAUAAUGACUAUUUUUUAUCUAUAAGUCUUGGCCAAAUUACGUGCCAGCAGUCGCGGUAAUACGUAAAAGACGAGUGUUAUUCAUCUUUAAUCGGUUUAAAGGGUACCUAGACGGAAAAUCAAGCUUAAUUAAACUAAGGACUAGUUUUCUAGAGUUUGACAUGAGAAGGUACGAACUAUCAGAGGAGAGAUAAAAUUUGUUGAUACUGGUGGGACGGACAACGGCGAAGGCAAUCUUCUACUAAAAACUGACGUUGAGGGACGAAGCCUUGGGGAGCGAGAAGGAUUAGAUACCCUAGUAGUCCUUGGAGAAAAUUAUGAGUGCCAUAGACUAAAGUGAAAAAGAAGUUCUUUUAAAAGAACUUUGUAUCUGAGCCUUAAUUGGAUACAAAGGUCUGGAGUAGCAGUUUAUAAAUGAAAGUGUAAGCAUUCCACCUCAUGACUAAAGCGGCAACGCCCAAAUUGAAAUCAUUAGACCGUUUCUGAAACCAGUAGUGAAGUAUGUUAUUUAAUUCGAUAACCCGCGAAUAACCUUACCACGUUUUGAAUUUAUUAAACAAGUGUUGCAC
rnacentral:rRNA from 1 species